rnacentral:rRNA from 1 species
UACGGAGGAUUCGAGCGUUAUCCGGAUUUAUUGGGUUUAAAGGGAGCGUAGGCGGGUUGUUAAGUCAGUUGUGAAAGUUAGCGGCUCAACCGUAAAAUUGCAGUUGAAACUGGCAGUCUUGAGUACAGUAGAGGUGGGCGGAAUUCGUGGUGUAGCGGUGAAAUGCUUAGAUAUCACGAAGAACUCCGAUUGCGAAGGCAGCUCACUGGACUGUUGACUGACACUGAGGCUCGAAAGUGUGGGUAUCAAACAGG